GAUUGUACAAAAAUGUAUAUACCUGUAUUGUAAAACACCUUGAGCUUAAACGUCAAACGAAUCUUACCUCGUUGUUCCGAGGUAAUGAUCAAAUAAAAGAUCGUCCACUUUCAUCUGGACUAGCAGCGUAACCACACGUGUUUCUCUUUCAUCAAGUGGCGACGAGGGAAAACCUUGAAAGUGUUAAAUUUGAACAUUAUUUUGUUAAAAUCGAAAUCUUGUUAGUGAGAAAACCUUGGAGCGGUAUUUUUUCCGGAGGCUGCGUGUUUUAUAGUUUUUCUUCCCCAACGGUUGCGGAAAACCACGCCGCGGGCGGUUUAUAUCGAAGGGAGCGGCAAGAAUUAGAGCUUUUUUUUCAACUACUUAGCCAGUCCGAACGCCGAGGACGGUGACAGUGAUUUUUUUUUCAUCGCCGUUAGUUUGCACAGUGAAGAUUUAGUGAACGAAUACUACAAUCGCGGCGGCGAAAAGUUGUUUAAGCAAACCGAAGAUAUUACCAAAAGCCCUAUUGUGAGGCACGCCGAGGCAGGAAAAAACGCCGAGAACAACGAUCAAAAAGUGAUUUUCUGUGCAUCCCAAAGGCUCCCCACUGCGACGGCAGCCAACAAAGCCGGACGACGAGGACGCCAACAAAGCCGGACAACGAGAACGACAACUGCAAUAUAAAGGACACGAAUCGCGGACGCACAAUUUGAUUGCUACGGAAGCCGGAUAAAAUCAACGGAGGCAACUAAUUUCAUCAUCGCCGUCCAGUUUAGUAGCGUCAGAUUGGUAUUCGUCGAAAGGUCGGCAUUUGUGGAAGUUCCUCGGUUGGAAAUCUAAAUCGUAGCUCGAGUAAUUCGGUUUCACGUCGUUUUCCGGACACAGUGUAGGGUAACUGCGACAAUUGUCGGCACGGGCAAAGGCCUAGGCGAGAGCCAAUUGUUUCGUACGGAUAGCAAUUGGAAGCGCUCUCACCAUGGCCCACCGAAAUCAGCUUAGGUGCUACAAGGGGGAAACUCCGCAGCCGAGGCAAAACGUGUGGCUGGGAGUCAGUACGGGUGGUCGAGAUGCUACGGUCGAAGGACGAACUGGAAUUGAAGAACGACACGAAGAGGACACCGAAGAUGUUAACGCUGGAAGCGGCUCUGAUGAUGAACCAUUCAGGGGAUUCCCUAUGGUUCCGGCAAAGGCCAGAAAGCGAAACGCGACUUUGGCGAACUUGCCGAACGUGUAUCCACGGCGAUCGAAGAGGAUCCGAAAGCGAAUCGAGGAUCCAGAUUUCAUUUAUUAGUAGUGAAUAAGUUCGAAGUGAAUUUCAAAAAAGUGAAAUGAUUAUAUGAAUAUUUUCUGAAUGAAUUUUUAUCUGUUUUGUAUAUUUGAUAUUUUCAAGUUCUGAUUUUGUAUAACGUGAAUACUGAUGUAUUAAUUUAAAAGGGGAACAGCUGUUGUGUCACCCACACCAAGAUUGUACAAAAAUGUAUAUACCUGUAUUGUAAAACACCUUGAGCUUAAACGUCAAACGAAUCUUACCUCGUUGUUCCGAGGUAAUGAUCAAAUAAAAGA